CGUGGCUGGCUUGGGGUGGGCAGUCCUUGGAGAUGAAGUGGAGGGGGCCUUGGGCUUCCUGGGUCUGGAAGGCUGGUGAAAUGACAGUUUUCAGACAUGUGAUUGCGUUUAAGCCAAAGGAGUGAAGAGAAGGCAGAUUGCAUUUCUCCAUCCCUGGCAGAGGCCACACCACCUAGGGGAUGGUGAGCCUUGGAGCCUGCCUGCCUUGGUGCACACCCCAGCUCCCUUUGCUAAGUGUGUGUCCCGUUUCCUCACCCGUAAAAUGGGAGUGGUCACAGCACAUCUGAGUUCUCUGAAAGGAGGGCCUAGGGUGGGCCUGGUGCAGGUAACACUCUUGAAGUGUUUGCUGAUGACUCUUAGGGACUGGCAGGCUGGGUUCUUCCCCAGGCGCUCCUCUCACCUGUUCUAGUGCUGGGGCAGGUGGUGGCAGUAAGUCAUUGCUACCAAGGUCUGAUGUUUGUGAGUGCUGCUGCAGAUACGAUGUGUUCAGGGCGGAGGCCACCUGCCUGAGUGGCGUGGCCUAUGGGCUUGUAGUCUGACUCAUUUAGAAGCAGCACAGCCCACUCUUCAUCCUAAAAUGCCUCCCACCUCCCUGCCCUUUUUUAAAACAUCUAAUAAGUCCUGGCAGCUGCUUGGAGAGGGACACACACACUUAAGGGAUACAAAGGGUCCUGCCUUGCGGCCUGCCUCCCCACCACCGUGAUGGAUGGGAGCUGUCUUCCCUAGCGCCGUGGCAUAUUGAUGGGGUUGGAGUUGGAGGGGAAGGCAGCUCAGAGACCACCACUCCUAUUAGGGCAUUGGCACUUCAUGAGCUUUCUGAGUCCAAAUCCCUAAUGCUAGUUGAUCGCGUGUGUGUGCGCGCAUGUGCGCGCACCAUGUAGAUUCCAUGGAGAGAGACACAGCUUGAAGAGUAACCUGCCUCACUGGGGCAGUGUGGACAAGGAUCCUAUGGAACUGGGCUGAGCCUGGCUCCCGGGUGAUUGGGUCAGAGGCCCCAGCAGAAGUUGCUGUGCCCACUUUUUGGAAACGCUUGGGGUGACUCGGGGGCUCCCUGCCGGCUUCCGUGCGUAUUGGUGGAUGUGUGCAAGUGUAGCAGUAGGAGGAGCUGCUGGCUGAGGGGUGCUGGAGGGUGGCCGGGGCCCUUCUAGCCUAUGCAAGUGGCUGGGCAGCUCAGCUUCCUGCCGGGGUGCCUCUGUCCUCCUGGGAAGGGAGCGUGUAGGUGGUGGGAGCAGGCGGCCCUGUCCGUCUCAUCCUGGAAUCUGUUUUGUAGAUGUCUAGAGUAGUCUUAGAGGGUGUUUGGGGACACUCUAGCCUUCAUGCCUUCACCAAGAUUCUUCCUCUGGGGUUCAGGCCACAUGAAGAGGGUGUUCCUUGUUUUCCAGAACCUUGGCUCCGUUCCCUAGGCCCGCAGCAGGCGCCGGGGGGCAUGGACUGGGCGGGAGGUGCUGCCAGAGGUGAGGGUGUGCGCCUCCAGUGCCUGCAGCUCUUUUCUGCUUACUGUGGGACUAGGCCUUCCUACCUACUUCUGGGCUCGCUCUGAUCGACGCAGCUGCCUCUGGGACUCCAUAACCAUCAGUGCUUGGCCUCUGGGGCCUGCAGACGUGGGUUCGAAUCCUGACUUUGCCCCUUACCAUCUGGGUCUGUCUUGGCAGUGGCAUCCUCCUCAUCCGGAAAACAGGAACAUUAACUGCUUAAAACAGUGUGCAGGCACGUGGGCUGGGUGCUCUGGCUUCCCCACAAGUCCUCUCCUGUUCUCAUAGCAGGCCUCUGAGAAUGGGACUGAAACCAUUCUUACUUUAUAGAUGGGGAAACUGAGGCAGAGAAAGGCUAACCACCUGUCUGGGCCUGGGGCGGGGGUGGCGGGGCCGGGGUGGGGAGGUGCGAGGUAAUAGAUGUCCGGGAGGAGAUUGGAACACAGGUGGUGGGUGCCUGAACGCAUGCUUUCUUGGUGGGGGACAGUGGGAAGGGCCCCGGCCCUGGCCUGACCUCUCCCUUGCUAUCCUGGAGUCCUGUGAACACCACCCAUCCAGAAGCAGUUGGGAUCGGUCACAGAGUUUGCUACUGUGUGCACCCGACUUCAGGCGACGGUGUUUUGUAACCCAAUCUGCUGGCUGGCCAUUUGAUACCUGUGACGAUGAAGAGGCCGCAGACUUUAUUUGUUGGUUGCCAGAGGGUGGAGACCCAAACAGGGACGGUGUCAGAGGGACCAUCCGCUCUUGGUUUCCUGGGAGAUCUGAACUCAAGCCUCUGAGAAUCCUCCUGCCCCUGCCUGGGCCUUACUGAGGUGGGUAGGGGGAGGCUCCCGGGUGCAGCUCCCGGGAGGCAUUGGGGCGGGCUGCCUGGGUCAGCUGUCUGCCCCCAGCCCCCGUCCGCUGGCGGAGCUGGAGAGCUGGGCCCUCGUCAGCGUCCCUUUUGUCUUUGUGAACAAUCAGGCCCCGGGAGCACAGCCGGGCCUGACUCAGCGGCCAGUUUUUUCGGCCUUGGGCUGGCAGUGACUUGCUGUUGGCUGAGGGCAUGGAGGGAGGUGGGAGCCAGGAGCCCGGGCAGCUGAGGGUUGUCCACCAGUUAACCCCUUCUGUGCCUGUCUGAACUCUUCCUCGACUUUCUGACCCCGACCUUUUAUACCUUGCCCUGGACAACUCUGAAGAUCCCACAGCUCUGCUUUUAGGCAAGACCCUGUGGAAUCUUUGCCUAGCUGGGUCUUAAAUGUUAGUUUAGAAUGAUUUACCAAAGAACUUUACACUUUAUGCUAUUUGCCGGAGUUUCCUGGCCUCUUUCCUUUUUUUAAGUUGAACAAGCUCUGUGAGACCUAACUCACCUGUGCAUUUCUGAUCUAACUAUAUGUGACCACCGUCUGUGGUUUGGUGGAGCCUUCCUCGGCAGUGGCAAGGGCGUGGUAGUCACAGCAGGAGCCGGUAGCCAUGGCCCACCAAGGGUGUCUGCCAGCUGAGUGUGUCCGUUACCUGCCGGUGGGAGGGGAGGUGCAGCGGUCUGGAGAGGGUCUGUGUCCAGGCAGAGCUUAGUCUGGCCUGGGAGGAUGCCCUGUGUCAAGGGGUGUCUGUCCAUUCUUGGGCUGAGGGCACCGGGAGCAGAGGUUUGUCCUGGGCCUGGCUGCACCCAGAGCCUCUUCUUGGGUUAUUUUUGAAGGGCCAGCUGCUUCCCUGGGUGCAGGUCCCCCUGCCUGUUAAGGGGGCCUGGCUGUGGCCUUGACUCCCGUUCACAGAGUGCCUCAUUGUGUACGUUAUAGAACGUCUGAAGGGGGUGGAAUAUCCCUGGCUUCCACCCCUAGAAGCCAGUAGCAUUGCCUCGCCUAAGUCAUGACUACCAAAAAUGUCUCCAGACAUUGCCAAAUGUCCCCUGGGUUUAGUGGCAUGAGGACCAGUAUCUGUGAGUCUUUUGGACCUUGCCUCAUGGUCACAAGAUGACUGCCACAGCUCCAGACAUCCCACCCAUGUUCCGCGCAGAAAGGACAAUAAGGGACAGUACGAACUGCCUCUGUCUUUUUUAGCAGAAAAAUGGAAGCUUUCACAGAGGCCUCAACAGACUUCCACUUAAGUCUCACUGGCCACAACUGGGUGACAGGACAUGGCCGCCACAGGGGCGCCGAGAUGACAAGACAGGCUCCUCGGACUCCGGGGUAUCAAGUACAGGCCGUAUCCAGGAGCCAGGGCCCUGGGGGUCUGCCUGGGCUUGAGGCCAGGCCCAGCCCGUCUCUGCAGGCUCCUCCCCAUCUGUGAAUGUGAACGGUAACACUGUCUCCCCUACAGGGCCAACUUGACUGUGUGUGGAGGGCCUGGCCCUAGGAAGUCACAGUUUCUCAGUGACGCAUCUCUUGCCGGCCCUGCUCCAGGGUCUGUUGAUUGACUACCUGUGCAAAACCGAGGCUCAGAGCAACUGAGAGACUUGCUGGGUUCACACAUCCCGUGAUGGUGGGGCCUGAGUUGGGGGCUGCGAGACUCUUGUCCCUCCCACAAGGACUCAGCGCCUCCCUCUGGCUAGAUGGCAGCUCUUGGAUGAUUCAGAGCACAAGGCCUCAAGACUGAUGAUGGCCGUGAGACCCUCUCCCAGGCAUGUGCCUGCCCCACUGCAUGUAUAGUUUCAGGGACCCCUACGUCCUUCGUGUGAAGGUCUCUGGUGCCCACUGGGUAGUAGAUGGCUGCCCUUGCCAUCACGGGCCUUGGUGUGUGCACGCCAUGGGGCCUGGACAGAGCACCUGGGUUCCCAGAGCAAGAGGACGGACUGGGGAGGCAGUGAUGGGAAGGCGUCUGUCUCCUUGAGAGCAUGGGUGCGCGAGAUGGGGAGAACGUCAACAGCUACCCCCAGCAUCAUUCAUUCAUCAGGUGUUUAUUGAGUGCUUGCUAUAUGACAGACCUGGUGCAUAAGAAAGACACGGUCCCCGAUCUCAGGUGCUUACAUUCUGCUUGUGCACUCGUGGGCCCGCAUGGUGACGCGUGCAGUUAAACAGGAAGCUGGCGGAAUGAGUGCCUGCGUGGGGACCGAACAGUCCCACGUCUCAAGUCCAGUGGUGGGGAGAUGUGUCUGUGUGUGUGAUAAAGCUUCACAGUUAGUGUGUGUAGAAGAUGAUGCAGUGUGCUGAAGGCCUGCAGUCACUAAGCCACUGUGCCUGGCUUAGUGUCCUGCUUUUGCUCUUGUCCUUAGUUACUCUGAUGUGCCCUUGGGGGAUGGAGGAGGCGGAGUACACAGGACCUCUCUGUACUGUUUUUGCAACUUCUUGGGAGUCUUUUAUUAUUUUAUAAUACAAAGUGAAACAAAGCCAGAGGAGCUGUUUGCAGGUGAUGGCCUGUGUGUGUGUGUGUGUGUACGCACGCACGCGCGUGUGUGCAAGCGUGCUGGGGAAGGCUCCACUGAGGAUGGGGGAAAUGGGACCUAUUGGCGUCUGGGGAAGAGCAAGCAGCCCAGGCCCAGGGUGACAGGUGAGCUGCAGGUCACUGUGGCGGGCACAGGGUGAGCACCGCAGGGUGAGGGCAGAAGCUGAGGUCAGAGCGAGGCGGCAUGGGGCUGGGAGGAAGUGACUCCCCCCAACACUGUGGCGUCACGUUUUCACCCUGAGGGUGUCUCGUGGUGCCCCCCCCCCCCCACAAGGCUUCCUGUUUGGCAGCUCAUCUGGAGCCAGGCGUGGGCUGCGCCGUGGCCCUCCUGGGCGGGCGCCCAUGCCGCACCUGUUGUUUGUCCUGUCUGCUGAAACAGAAAGCAGCCUUUGGGUGGCGGGGGCUCCUCUCCGAACAUGAGUUCUCACCCUGGCUCCCUGCUGGGCUUGGGGAGCCUCUUCUGGAAGCCUUGGGCCAAGGGGCACAGCUUUGUCUCAGGGUAGAGGCCUGAUCACAGACCGAGGUGGAGGCCCAAGUUUGAGCUUUCCUCAUUUAGCCUCAGUUUCACCUUGUGUUGAGGGUGGACGGGCUGAGAACUCUGCAGUGUGCUGCGGGCAGCAGGGCCUUCCUGCCAAUCUUGUUUGGGUAGAGUAGGGAGCUGGACACUGGGUCAGCUUGUCUGACAGAUCUUUGCUUGCUUUGUGCCAGGCUGGGGAUGCCUGCCAUGGGGGAGAGGGGAGACCCGGUCCCAGCUCCUAAUCGCAGUGCUUCCUGCAGCGAGGUGCUGAGAGGAGGACAGAGACAAAGGAGGUCAGCAUGCCUCAGAAGGCGACAGGAGCUGGGGAGGGGAAGGGAGCAGCCGGGGAGGCUCAGGGCCCGGCAGGGUAGCCUCAGCUCCUAGAGGACUUUGAUGACCCAGGGAGGCACUGCCACAUUCCUCCAAGUGACGCCGGGCCACGCAGGCUCAGAGCGGAGGAGGGAUGGGUCAGUCUGCAUUUUUGUUUUCAGAGUGUUUUUGCUUCUGUCUGCUGGGUUGAGCCUGCACUGCUGAGGAUAUUGUGGUGGUUGGAGGCCCUUAGAGGAUGCGCAGUCAUCCAGGCAUGAGACGAGGGUGCUGCCUGCACCAGCGGCCCUGGUGAGAUACAGUGAGAUUCUGGGUGUCUAUUUUGAAGAACCUGGGAAAGAAAGAGGAGUCCAAGAAGAUUUUGGAGCUUUGGGCCUAUGAAAUGGAAGAUGGGCUUGGCCCUGACUGGGGUGGAGGCUGCUGUGCAGUACAGUUUUGGAGAGAAGGUCAGGAAUUGGAGUUUGGGCCGGUUCAGGUGGAGAUGCUGUUCCGGGCCUGGCAUUGCCCCACAGAGAGGGCGUUUGACCUGUGUCCUGUGGCUGGCUGCCCCACAGAACUUGAGUGUCCCCAGACCUCCCAGUCCUCCCCCCUAACAAGUCACUGGGGAUUCCCGGGAGGCAGGGCCAUGGCCUGGCUUCCUGCCUGCCAGGCGCCUCGGGGACCUUCCCGCACCCAGCCAGGUGGGAGUCAGAACCCUAAGAGCUGCGGUCCGUCUCUGCCGUGGUGGUGCAAGGCCCCUGGAGAGCAGGGAAAGUGCAAUGGGCUCAUUUGCCUUUUUCGUUUUUAUUUUCAGAGGCGACUUUAUGUUCAGAAAAUGAGUCCUCCUGGGCCGUGGUCAGUUCUUUUCACUGCGAGUUCUGCUUUGAGUGUGGACAUGUGUCCCAGGCACCAUCUGUACUUCCCUCACCCGGCCCGCCAGGGGGUUCUCAGACUCUGCCCGAGGCCCAAGCCCUCUGUCUUGGGGCAAUCUGUUGGACUCUGCAGCAUCCUUAGUUUACAGAUGGGAAACAGAGGCCGGAGGGGCUGAGUGAUGGUCCAUGCGACUUGGGCAGGCAUGGCCAGGAUCUGGGCUUGGGGCUCUUCCAGCCCUUGGACCCCUGAGUCUCCGUGGACAGAGUCAGCUGUGGUGCUCUUGGCUGUGUGCUGACCCUGGGUGUGUUGGGGUUCAGAUGCUGCCUAGGCCACGUGUGAAUGGGAAGGGAGGCAGGCACCUCAGAUUUCCAGUCUGGACCAGGCUCUGGGUCCCCCUGUCCUCUCCUGGGCUGUGGCAGAGUCAGCUCCUCCUGCAUGCCCCGCCCUCCCAGGAUGGCCUGGCCUUUCCAGCCCUAAUGGUGGCCCAUUUCAGUGGCUCCAUGAUUUGGGGGUUUGGUGUUGCCCAGGCUCCGGCACUAGGGGGAAGCAGAGAACCCCUGAGUCGUCCUUCCGCAAACACCCUGGACCCCAGCUAGGUGCCUGUGCCCAGUGUCCAGCGUUGCAGAGGGGCUUGGGUGGCAUGUGGGGGUCUGUCCCACCCAUUCCCGUGGUUUCUUCCUUGGCUCUGCCUGGACUUUGCACAAGUGGUAGGAUUAAUUCUCUGGGAAACAGAUCCGCCUCUGAUUGGUGCAAGGCCCUUCUCCGGGGUCUUGGUGGGAGGAUAGAAGUUUUCUGCAGAGGAUGAGGAGGCACAGACACCCAGUUGUUCUGAGGCCGGAACUUGGAAGGAAACUGGAAGGGAAGGAGGCCCCUGCCCUCUCCUAUGAGGGAACAGCUGGGCCAUGGCUCUGCAUCCCUGGGGAACGGAUGGGACUCCAGCAUCGGCCGUACAGAGGGCCGAUUCCAAAGUGACUUCUAGAGGAGGGAGCAAGUGCAGUGUGCCUGAAGAGGCCAGCGGGCCCUGGCCAGACAGGAGCAGCCCUGAUGAGCAUCGGGUCCCCCGACCUUUAGGCUCCUACCUGAUUGUGCCUGGCUGCUGGUCUGUUUUGCUCACCAAGAGUUCUUGGCUGCUGCCCCCUGACCUGGGGCUGAAAGUCCUAGGAGAGGGAGGGCCUCUGUCCCUCCCAGCAUUCCUCAGGCCCAAGGAGGCGUCCAUGCUGCUGAAGCCUCUCAGGUGCACAGAGCAAUAGAUCCUCACAGCAGCCCCCUGGGGCGCGUGGUUCCCCAGAGGCAGUGGUGAGGUCACCCGGGGCCGCCAGGCACCUGGUCGGGGAGCAGAGGCUGGCAGGCUGUGCCUGUUUAGCUGUGACUUGUUGGGUGGAACCGUGUCUGCCUGUCCCUCCAGCCUGCCCAGCCCUGGCUGCUCAAGGCUGAACUGCUUUCUCUGCCUUCUUGGGGCAGGGACUCUUGGCCUGGGAAGCAGAGGCCAUUCCAAGCGGGGGUGGGGGGAGGGGGGCUCUUUUGCCUCCCAGCUGCUUGCGAAGCCGGGGCCUGCCUCAGACGCUCAGCACUGGGCACCUGCUGUGCUGGGGCACUUUUGACGCAGCGGCUGAGACCAUGCUCUUGUGGGGAAGACAUUGUGCAAGGCAGAUGACGAGGGGGCUUCUAAUCAUAAGGAAACAGAGCCGCCUGGGUGGGACCCUGAGGGGUGAGCUUUGAGCUGUGGGAAGAAGCAAGCGCAUAGGUGCGAAGGUCCUGUGGUGGGAAGGAGUCAAAUCUGGGAACAGAAGGAGCCCAGGGCAGUGGGAAUGUGGCCAGGGAGGGCACAGUGCAGGUGGAGAUGAGUUAGGAGAGGUAGGUUGAGGCCUAAUAACGCAGGAAGCCACGAGGGAGCAGUUUGGGUUUUCUUCUCGGUACAAUGGGAGGCAGCUGGAAGGUUCUGCUCCUGGAGCUGAUGGGGUCUUGAUGUUUUCAUUUGUUUGUUUGUUUUUUGAAACGGAGUCUUGCUCUGUCGCCAGGCUGGAGUGCAGUAUCUCGAUCUCGGCUCACUGCAGCCUCCGCCUCCCUGGUUCAAGCGAUUCUCCUGCCUCAGCCUCCUGAGUAGCUGGGAUUACAGGCACGCACCACCAUGCCCAGCUAAUUUUUGUAUUUUUAGUAGAGACGGGGUUUCACCGUGUUGGCCAGGAUGGUCUCAAUCUCCUGACCUCAUGAUCCACCCGCCUCGGCCACCCAAAGUGCUGGGAUUCCAGGCGUGCGUCUUGAUGUUUUUAAGACAGCUCUGGUUGCUGCUGGGUGAAGGAUUCAGGGCUGGGAGGCAGGCCUCCACCACCACCAAGGCAGGGCCACACCACUGCGCCCGCCUGGAGAGUUAGUGAUGAAGGAGAGGGAGGAUUGGAGAAUGGAGGGAUGGAAGCAGGGAGCUCCCGUUGGAUGGUGUGGGCAUAGGCUGCAGUGGGGGUGAGUGGGCAGGGCAGUGCCUGGGUGGCCUGGUGGGCUCUUCACUGAGGUGGAGAGGGCAGGAGAGUCCCACCAGGGCCAGGCAGACACGUGCCCUGGCAGGCGAGCCUGUGCAGGGGACACAGUGUUGAUGGGGCUUGGUGGGUGGGGCAGUGUGCAGCUACCAGGCCGUGCCCUUGCGUGCAGAGGCUGUGGCACCUGACCUUUCUGAGCAUGGAGUGUGAGGGGGGUGCCGAGGAACCUGCCUGGUGUAUGCACACCAGCUCUCCAUUGCCAGGCAAUGGAGUCUUAGGCCUGCGGCCGGAUGCAGGCCCGGGCCGCCCUUGGACAGUGCGGGGCUGGUGGUUUGGCUGCAUUUUUCUUUCUCACCUGACCACUCAGUGGGUUCGCCCAUGCGUGCAUGGCUGCAUGUGCCCCUCUGUCUCUCAGUUCCCACCAUCCUCCUUUGCGGGCCCCCCUGGCGUGGGCACUUGUGGUCAGAACAGCAGUAAGGAUUCCUUGUCUUUGCCCUUCCCCAUGUGGUUUCUGAUGUUCCACAGUCGGGCAUCUCAGCCUCAGCACUGCGGACCUUUAGGGCGGCAUUGUUCUUUGUUGUGGGGGCACACUGAGCAUUGUAGGAAGCAGUCAGCACCCCUGGCCUCGACCCCUAAUGUCAGCAGCACCCCCACCCGCACCCCAUAUUCCUGGUUGUCAGUUGUGACAACUAGGACCAUCCCUAGGCAUUUUCCAGUGUCCCCUGGGGCACAGUUGUCCUGGUUGGGAAUCGCUGUCCUAGUGGCGCCUCUAGGGCCUCACAGCAAGCUUUCGAGGUCAGCCUCUGUAGGACCCAACUUACAGAUGAGGAAACUGCGCCUUGGAAGUUUUGAAACCUGUUUGGUAACUCAGACAAGUGCAGGGGUGAGGCGAAGCCCUAGGAGGGAGAGAAGCCGCUGGAACCCAGCUCCUGCCUGGCGGGGCUUUGUGGCUCCUUCUACCUUAACUUCGGCCGGUGUUCUCACUCCCCCUUGGGGCCUUGAGGUGUGGCCCCUGCUGUGCCUUCCUUUUAUUUUGAGCUGAACCUGGGGCCCCAGCCAGUCCUUGCAGGCACAGCUACCAGCAGCAGACCCGACUGUGCCAAUCCCUUGCUCUGCAAUGGGGCAAAUUGCUUGGGGCCUCUCUGAGCCUCAGAUUUCCUCUCUGGGAAAUGGGCUAACACUAGCAUCUUUUCUGUGGCUUUUUUUUUUUUUUUUUUGAGACAGAGUUUCACUCUUUUGCCCAGGCUGGAGUGCAGUGGCAUGAUCUCGGCUCACCACAACCUCCACCUUCUGGUUUCAAGCGAUUCUUCUGCCUCAGCCUCCCGAGUAACUGGGAUUACAGGCUCCCGCCACCACACCUGGCUAAUUUUUGUGUUUUUAGUAGAAACAGGGCUUCGCCAUAUUGGCUAGGCUGGUCCUAAACUCCUGACCUCAUGAUCCGCCCACCCCAGCCUCCCAAAGUGCUGGGAUUACAGGCGUGAGCCACUGCGCCCGGCCUUCUGUGGCUUUGAAAAUGCUUCGCAAGUUAUCCCAGGCCCUUUACAUACAGAAAGAUGAGUAGAUACCGACAUGCAGUGUCUGCAAGGGUCAGGAAACAGGAGAGCCCCUCCUUCCUCCCCAGCCUAAACAUUGCUCACCCACGCUUGUGUUUGAGUGUCCCUGAGUAGGGCAGCUCCUUGGUGGCCAAGGCAGCGCUCUGGCCCCGAUGAUGUGGGGCAUCAGAACCCGAUAGAAAUGACACAGCCCUCCAGGUGAGUGUGGCCGGAACCUGGCUGCCCCACAGCCCCAGGCACUUGUGUUCUGCGUCCCUGGUCUGGGCAGCGGUUCUUGAACGCAGCUGCGGAUCAGGACCCCGGGGCCUGUUCAUGCAGAUUUCUGGACCCCAUCUGCCUUUGCAGUCUGCAUGGGAUCCACAUUUUUAGCAAAAACUUGCGGGGGAGGUGUCUGAGGCAGGGGCAUCACUGCCCAUGUUUGGAGAAGGUGUGGGUUCAAAGCUUCCAUAGCCUCCAACUAAGGAAUGUUUUCGAGGUUCCGAGAGCUGGAUCGUCGGUGGGGGGGGUGCACUGGUGAUGCCAGGGACAGCCUGCUGGGCACAGCCCCAAGACAGUCGUUGCUGUGUCUCCACUCGCCCCCUUCCCGAGGGAGGCCUCCGAGACCCUGCUGGGCCCCCUGCCUCCGCUGGCUGGAGCUCCUCAUCGUUCUCAGUGGGGUCUGUGCCACCCACCGAGCCUUUGUUCCAUCAGCACCAUGUGCCCAGUGCCUCCUACAGGCCUGGUCCUGGCAGAGAGCUGGGGGUCCAGACAGAGCCAUCUCUCUGACAGAGCGCCAUCCAGUGGGGCGUCGGGCAGCGUAGCGAGGUGAGGGGCUGGCCUCCAUGUGGGGUUGGGGGGGCCUCGCCAGGAUAAGGGCUCCAGGCAGAGGCAUUGGCAGGUGUCAGGCCCAGGUGGGGAGGAUGCGAGGGAUUGAGGUGCUGUGGGGCAUGGGCCGGCACCAGGGUGGAGAUGGGUGUGCAGUGGAAGCCAGGGGUCAGCAGUCCCGGCCACCCCCGUGGUGGAGGUGCCGCGAGAGGGUUGUGCACAGAGGCUGCCGGCUGCCCUCCUCCACUCUUCAGACGCUCAGACUGGUGCCUUCCUCCGCCUUAUGCCGCAAUGCUGCUCCCCUGCGGCCAGCUCUGCCUCAUCAUUAGGUCUCUGCAGGCAUCCCCUCCUUCAAGAAGCCACCCUGUCCUCUCCCCCAUCGCUGUCCACACAUCACAGCCCUGUGCUGUCUUGACUUCUCCUGAGCCCCCCCACUCUGGUUUAUGAGUUGGUGCGUUUUGGUGCCUCUCCCAUCCUAGAAGCUAAGCCCCUCGAGGGCAGGGGCUGUAUGGUCUGCUCCUCUCUGCACCCUGGCAGAUAUGUGAGAAAGGCGUCACAGCUUGAGAGUCAGAAUUCAAACCCAAGCCUGGCUCCGCACAAGGCUCUUGUUGCCAUGGAGGUUGCAGGGUGGAUAGCAGAGGCUUCUAACCUGGGGAGAGGGACAGGAGGUGCCGCUGUGGGGUUCCUGGCAGGAGCUGCCUGGGCCUCUGGACAGAUGCUGUGGAGGGUUGGCCGUGUGGGCUGCAGGUGUGGCCACAGCAGCCACUAGGAUGGCUCAACCUGGGAAGGUAAACAGCAGUAGAGAGGGUGAUGCGGUGUAGAAACUUCCCACACACUUCCCAGAUGGGGUGGGGGGAGCAAGAGGCCCUGUCAUCCAGAUUUUCCUGGUUCCCACUGUUGCCUAGGGCUGGGGGAUCCACUGAGUGCACCUGCCUUUGUGCUGGAAGCCAGGGCUCCUCUCUGACCCUGAGGGUCCCUGGCUCUGGAGAGGGAGUACAUGUUUUCAAUGCCCACAUGUUGCCAAACCGUGCUCCAGAAAGCUGCCCAGUUUCUGUCCCUGCCAAAUGCAGGAGAAUGCAGGGAAGGAUGUUGUACUUUUUCUCCAGAGCUGCUUCCCUUGAGUGAGGGCCCUGCCUACAGGUGCAGAAGGAAGCUGAGGUUCCAAGUCGCCCCCUAGGUGGGCCUGGCCUGUGUAACACGCAGGUGUGCAAGGCAGAGGAGAUACUGAUGCCCAGGGCACAGUGCUGUGCCCUGGCCAUACCACUCCAUGCCUCAGGCUCUGCAGCAGCUUCUGAUGCCACUGAGGUGGCUGUUCUGUUGCAGAUGGGAAACUGAGGCUUAGCGGCUUGCCCCAGGCCACCGAGCAGCUGGUUGGCAGAGCAAGCACACGCCAGGAAAGCUGCCUCCCUGAGCCUCAUUUCCCCCUUUGCUGAGGGCUGAGCAUGCUGUUGCAUGGCCAGCCCACAGCAGGCAGGAAGUGGUGGCCUCGAUGCGUUUCCACAGUGGCCUGCCCGGGUGGGGUUAAGAGCACAGCUCUGAGGCCAGCUGACUCCUGGCCCCUCCACCUCAUCAGCUGUAGGACCUUGGGCAAGUCACCUGGCCCCGUGUGUGAAAUGGGCCUCAUGAUUGGAAGACCAAGCCGAUGGGGUGACACACCCAGUCACAGUACGGGUCUCCCCCAGCGUGGGCGCUAGCGAGUAUGGCAGCUGCUGGCACCAUUACUGAGGGCUGCUCAUGGCGCCAUCUCUGUGGUCACCGCCAUUGCACUCCUUUGCUCCAGCAUUCACGCAGUCACUCUCACAUCUUCACGGAGCUGCUGCAGGCCAGAGUCCGUGCCAUCAGGGACAGAAAGAAACCCUGUGAGGGCUGAGCACGGUGGCUCACGCCUGUAAUCUCAGCACUUUGGGAGGCCGAGGUGGGCGGAUCACGAGGUCAGGAGAUUGAGACCAUCCUGGCUAACACGGUAAAACCCCAUCUCUACUAAAAAUACAAAAAAAAAUUAGCCAGGCGUGGUGGUGGGCGCCUGUAGUCCCAGCUACUCGGGAGGCUGAGGCAGGAGAAUGGUGUGAACCCGGGUGGUGGAGCUUGCAGUGAGCCGAGAUCACACCACUGUACUCCAGCCUGGGCGACAGAGCGAGACUCCAUCUCAAAAAAAAAAGAAACAAA